UGGUGUGAAUUGCAGAAUCCCGCGAAC
rnacentral:rRNA from 1 species